GAUGAACGCUGGCGGCGUGCCUAAUACAUGCAAGUCGAGCGAACAGACGAGGAGCUUGCUCCUCUGACGUUAGCGGCGGACGGGUGAGUAACACGUGGAUAACCUACCUAUAAGACUGGGAUAACUUCGGGAAACCGGAGCUAAUACCGGAUAAUACAUUGAACCGCAUGGUUCAAUAGUGAAAGACGGUUUUGCUGUCACUUAUAGAUGGAUCCGCGCCGCACUAGCUAGUUGGUAAGGUAACGGCUUACCAAGGCAACGAUGCGUAGCCGACCUGAGAGGGUGAUCGGCCACACUGGAACUGAGACACGGUCCAGACUCCUACGGGAGGCAGCAGUAGGGAAUCUUCCGCAAAGGGCGAAAGCCUGACGGAGCAACGCCGCGUGAGUGAUGAAGGUCUUCGGAUCGUAAAACUCUGUUAUUAGGGAAGAACAAAUGUGUAAGUAACUAUGCACGUCUUGACGGUACCUAAUCAGAAAGCCACGGCUAACUACGUG
rnacentral:rRNA from 1 species